AGAAAGAAGAAGGAAGCAGAAGAAACAGAAGCAGGAGCAUGACAAGAAAAAAGUCUCAGGAAAUGCAAAGAAGAAAAAGUAAAGAGGAAAUGGAAGGAGGAAGAGGAAAGACAAGAAGCAAGAGGAAUGCAGGGAACAGUGACUCGCCAGCUAAGAGAAUGAAGAGUAGCAGUGAUCAGGGCAGCGGUGGCAAGACGGGUGAAAGCAAGGCAGGUGACGGCAGCAGUGACUUUCUGACUGUUGAUGAGAUGCUGAAGGACUUUGUGGAGUGAAGAGUCUCGGCCAAACCACUUCCUCCACCUGGUGUUCCUCGGCUGCCCAUCAGAGAACCAGCAGGAGUGUGUUCACCCUGCGGCAACACAAACACACUCAGGGAGGGACACAACGCCUCAGUGCUAGUCACUCCCACCACAGUGUCAUAGAUGCUUGUGUGUCUGUUUGUCAUUAAGUUUGUAAACUCCGAGAUAUCAGACUAACACUGAAGGUCAUUGGUGUCCACCAGGCAUCCUGAGUCUGGGUGGCACCACAGCAAGGAGAACCACUCACAAAAAUUCAAAUAUAAAUAAGUUCUCACAUGAAA